rnacentral:lncRNA from 1 species
GUUUGAUGUUUUGAUUUUGCCAUUUGAAAAUGGACUUUCUGAUUUAAAUUUUCCUUGAAUUUCGGUAUUUUUGUAUGUUACUUCUUUCUCAAUUGUACGAAUUUGGUUACCACUAGCAUAUUUGCAGAAUGCUAUUCUAAACAAAGGUCCAUUAUGCAUAGUUCAAGGGGUGAAACAUUUGUAUAUAGUACCAAUUUCAUUUGGAUGUCUCUCCCUUGCAAACUCAAAAUACUAAAUUGAUCAAACCAUAUUUAAAUUUUAAAAUCGAAGAGUCUAAACAAUACACAAAAAUAUACCGAAAUUGUAGUUUCGGGCCAUCUUUAGGCAUUUGAAAUCUGAUACGUUUCUCAGAAAUUGCUACAUUGCUGUUACAACCUCUUAGUACACUUAUGAAACUGUAAUACUAUAUAGAUAUAGGAAGAUGUGAUGUGAGUGCCAAUGAGACAUCUCUCCAUCAAAAUAACAAUUAUAAAAGUAAACCAUUAUAGGUCAAUGUACGGCCUUCAACACGGA